AGGCCACAAGGAACCUAAAUCUCACUCCUUCCCUCUCCGCCGGCGGUGAAGCCAUGUCGCACUUCGGAAGGUCAGGUCCGCCGGAUAUCAGCGACACCUACUCUCUUCUCGUCCUCAACAUCACUUUCCGCACGACUGCAGAUGAUCUUUAUCCUCUAUUCGCUAAGUAUGGGAAAGUCGUGGAUGUCUUCAUCCCCAGAGAUCGAAGGACUGGUGAUUCGCGUGGGUUUGCAUUUGUUCGAUAUAAGUAUAAAGAUGAAGCUCACAAAGCUGUGGAAAGGCUUGAUGGACGAGAGGUUGAUGGCAGAGAAAUCACUGUUCAGUUUGCUAAAUACGGCCCUAAUGCGGAGAAGAUUUCCAAAGGAAGAGUUGUGGAACCACCUCCAAGGUCACGGAGGUCAAGAAGCCGUAGUCCUCGAAGGAGCCGUAGCCCGUAUAGACGCCGUAGUCCUAGGAGAAGCCGCAGUCCCCGCAGGAGGUCCCGAGAUGAUUACAGGGAAAGAGACUACAGGAAGAGGAGCAGAAGUAGAAGCAAUGAAAGGGGGCGUGAUAGGCAUCAUGACAAGGAUAGAGAUUAUCGCCGUCGCAGUAGGUCUCGUAGUGCCAGCCCUGAUGACAAACGCAGAGUCAGAGGCCGUUAUGAUGAUGAGAGACGCAGUCGCAGUUGCUCCUUGAGUGCAUCUCCUGCUCGCCGCAGCCCCAGCCCUAGAAGUGCCUCCCCACUAAAAGCCUCUCCUGAACGGCAAAGCAAAGAGAGGUCUCUAACUCCUGCUUCCCGCAGCCGUAGCCCAAGAAGUCCUUCCCUGGAAAAGGCCUCUCCUGAGAGUAAGAGCAAUGAUAGGUCCCCGUCUCCUCGGGACACAGCUCGUAGUCAGUCUCCUAAUGCGGAGGAAUGACGGCGUAAUUGUGAAGGAGACAGUGUAUCAAAACAUGUUUUGCUUGUAUUGAUGAUGUUUCAUCCUUCAAGCAUGGGAACUUCUAUCCUCUGUAGUAUUGGUUGAAUUUCCUCGGGUUCGAGAAAAGAAUUGACUUGGGAAGAUGGCACAGCCGUGUUGAGAUUGUAGCUGUUGCUGCUGUCUAUGAAACUGUAGAUGAUUGAUGUCUUGAUCGAUGUUAGAUGUGUCAUGCUUGAUGAUAGAUGCCGGUUUCAACACCCUGCCCUACCAUAUAUAGUUAGCAUCUUUGUCUCACACUUCUUGUCAAUACUAAGAAGGGUUGGGUUAGUCUAUUGCCCUGUGUUUGAAUCCAGUUAUGAAAUUAAGUUAA